AUGCCGUCUCUGCAGCUGCUGCAGUUGACGGACCGCGGACAGGUGCUUCUGGCUUCCAGGAGGAGGACUCUCGAUGUUGUUUCUGGCGCGCUGAUUGCUGGUGGAGCUUUGGCCUAUGCCCGGUCAAGCCAGAGCCAGCAGAGGAGGCGUUCAGAGGCAAAUUAUGGCAGCGAAGCCAGUGAAUUGGCCACCAAAGGGGAUGGGUUGAGUCAAAAUGGUAGAUUGGCUGCAACAAAGCGUAAAAAGAGUGGGCUUAAAUCUUUGCAUUUCCUAACUGCUAUCCUGCUGAAGAAGAUUGGUCCCAAUGGCACACGCUUCCUUCUAGGCUUGGUAUUAACAGCGGUGUUGCGUACUGCUGUGGGGCAUAGAUUGGCAAAAGUUCAAGGCUUUUUGUUUAAAGCAGCAUUUCUUCGGCGUGUCCCAACAUUUACACGCUUGAUCAUAGAAAACCUUAUAUUAUGUUUCCUCCAAUCCACAUUAUAUCAGACAUCAAAAUACUUGACAGGGUCUUUGAGUUUGCGUUUCAAGAAAAUUUUAACUGAUAUCGUUGAUGCUGAUUACUUUGAGAAUAUGGUUUAUUACAAAAUGUCAUAUGUGGAUCAUCGAGUAUCAAAUCCAGAGCAAAGGAUUGCUAGUGAUAUCCCAAAGUUCUCUUCUGAACUAAGUGAGCUUGUACAGGAUGAUCUGGCUGCGGUUGCAGAAGGGCUAAUAUACACCUGGCGUCUCUGUUCGUAUGCUAGUCCAAAAUACAUGGUCUGGAUUAUGGCAUAUGUACUAGUUGCUGGUGGGGUGAUAAGGAAAUUUUCUCCUGCUUUUGUAAAACUGAAAUCCACGGAACAACAACUGGAAGGAGACUAUCGUCAACUACAUUCACGAUUAAGACACAUGCGGAGAGUGUGGCAUUUUAUGGUGGUGAGAACAGAGAAGCAUCUCAUAUUAUGCAGAGUUGUCCUUAUCAUUGAACCAUUCUUCUCUGGCAACCUUAGACCUGAUUCAUCAACCCUUGGAAGGGCUGAAAUGUUAAGCAAUCUUCGAUAUCACACAAGUGUAAUCAUAUCGUUGUUUCAGUCCCUUGGGAUUCUUUCUAUCAGUUCAAGACAUUUAAAUAUCUUGAGUGGCUAUGCAGACCGAAUUCGUGAGUUAUUGGAUGUUUCACGUGAGCUGUCUGGUAUUCGUGAUAAAUCAUUGAAUCACAAUUCUCCUUCUGGAAAUUAUAUCAGUGAAGCAAACCAUAUAGAAUUUUCUGAUGUUAAGGUAGUGACACCUGCAGGUAAUAUCUUGGUCAACGAUUUGACACUCCGGGUAGAAACUGGUUCAAAUCUUUUGAACACUGGUCCCAAUGGUAGCGGAAAAAGCUCCCUUUUCCGGGUCCUUGGGGGUCUGUGGCCACUGGUAUCUGGCCACAUUGUUAAACCUGGUGUUGGUUCAGAUCUGAAUAAGGAGAUCUUUUAUGUCCCCCAAAGACCUUACACAGCUGUUGGGACACUACGUGAACAACUAAUCUACCCUCUUACAGAAGAUCAGGAGAUUGAAUCUCUUACCUAUGAUGGCAUGGUGGACCUUCUAAAGAAUGUUGACCUGGAAUACUUGCUAGAACGCUAUCCUCUUGAUAAGGAAGUUAACUGGGGUGAUGAGCUGUCCCUUGGUGAGCAACAAAGACUGGGAAUGGCCAGGUUAUUCUACCAUAAGCCAAAGUUUGCCAUACUUGAUGAGUGCACUAGUGCUGUAACGACUGAUAUGGAAGAACGUUUUUGCAAGAAGGUUCGAGCUAUGGGUACAUCUUGCAUAACAAUAUCUCAUCGCCCAGCUUUAGUUGCAUUUCAUGAUAUUGUUUUGUCCUUGGACGGUGAAGGCGGCUGGAAUGUUCAGCACAGAAGGGAGGACUCUUCCUUUUCCACUGAAGAGUCUGAUUUUUCAUCAUUAGAAACUGAUCGCAAAUCUGAUGCACUGACUGUUCAAAGAGAUUUUAUGAGAAGGGCAAAGAGCAAUGCUUCGUUGGGGUCCAAGGACCAUUCGUACUCUACAGAGGUCAUAGCAACUUCCCCUAAGGUGGAAAUAGAACAUGCAGUACGGACAUCUCGGGUUCCACAUUUGCGAUGCCACCCAAGACCUCUGCCUCUCAGAGUAGCUGCAAUACUCAACAUACUAGUAUGCUGUUCUCCUUGGUGCCUUUCUGUUCCCCAAUAA
rnacentral:rRNA from 1 species